GUAGCGGCGAGUGAAGCGGCAAUAGCUCAAAUUUGUAAUCUGGCACCUUCGGUGUCCGAGUUGUAAUUUGAAGAAGGUAUCUUUGGUUUUGGCUCUUGUCUAUGUUUCUUGGAACAGGACGUCACAGAGGGUGAGAAUCCCGUGCGAUAAGAUGCCCAAUUCCAUGUAAAGUUCCUUCGACGAGUCGAGUUGUUUGGGAAUGCAGCUCUAAGUGGGUGGUAAAUUCCAUCUAAAGCUAAAUAUUGGCGAGAGACCGAUAGCGAACAAGUACUGUGAAGGAAAGAUGAAAAGAACUUUGAAAAGAGAGUGAAAAAGUACGUGAAAUUGUUGAAAGGGAAGGGCUUGAGGUCAGACUUGGUUUUACCAGGCCAGCAUCAGUUUGGAUGGCAGGAUAAUAGCUAAGAAAAGUGGCACAACUUCGGUUGUGUGUUAUAGUCUUGGUUGAUACUGCCUGUCUAGACUGAGGACUGCGUCUUUGACUAGGAUGCUGGCAUAAUGACCUUAA
rnacentral:rRNA from 1 species